AUUGAACGCUGGCGGAAUGCUUUACACAUGCAAGUCGAACGGCAGCACGGACUUCGGUCUGGUGGCGAGUGGCGAACGGGUGAGUAAUGUAUCGGAACGUGCCCAGUCGUGGGGGAUAACAUAGUGAAAAUUACGCUAAUACCGCAUACGAUCUAUGGAUGAAAGCGGGGGAUCGCAAGACCUCGCGCGAUUGGAGCGGCCGAUAUCAGAUUAGGUAGUUGGUGGGGUAAAGGCCCACCAAGCCAACGAUCUGUAGCUGGUCUGAGAGGACGACCAGCCACGCUGGAACUGAGACACGGUCAGGACUCCUACGGGAGGCAGCAGUGGGGAAUUUUGGACAAUGGGCGAAAGCCUGAUCCAGCCAUUCCGCGUGCAGGAUGAAGGCCCUCGGGUUGUAAACUGCUUUUGUACAGAACGAAAAGGUUUCUACUAAUACUAGGAGCUCAUGACGGUACUGUAAGAAUAAGCACCGGCUAACUACGUGCCAGCCGCCGCCGUAA
rnacentral:rRNA from 1 species